CACGUAGGGUGCGAGCGUUGUCCGGAAUUAUUGGGCGUAAAGAGCUCGUAGGCGGUGUGUCACGUCGGCCGUGAAAACCUGCAGCUUAACUGUGGGCGUGCGGUCGAUACGGGCAUCACUGGAGUUCGGCAGGGGAGACUGGAAUUCCUGGUGUAGCGGUGAAAUGCGCAGAUAUCAGGAGGAACACCGGUGGCGAAGGCGGAUCUCUGGGCCGAUACUGACGCUGAGGAGCGAAAGCGUGGGGAGCGAACAGG
rnacentral:rRNA from 1 species